rnacentral:lncRNA from 1 species
UUAAGAAUAGAUUAGUUGCUUAUUAAUUAAGCUGGUUAUGAUUAAGUUAAUUCUUAGAUAGGUUACUUAGUCCUCAAGCAACCAUGCACUUCCUUGACUCUCAAGAAAACUAUGUAAUAACUUGACCCUUAAGUAACUCCAAGUUACUUGACUCCCAAGCAACAUGUGUAUUUCCACUCGGGUAUAAAUACCCUAUUGCUAUCAUCAAUAAAGACUAAUCGUUCAUUCACUUUCAUUCAAUCUCGCUUUACUCUAACAGUUACAUUGGAGUGUUGGUGUCCAUAUGUGGUGUUCUCAUGAGCCUAUGUGGACGUCACGAUUAUCUGCAGAUACACACAUACAAGUAGCAAAACACACUCUUACAAACAGGCCCCGCCAAUGACCCAAAGCCUCGAGCCACCAUAACCCACCAUUCCUAUAGAGCUUAGCAACUUACUACCUCCGUCUCGGUUUACAAGUCCGACACAUGUACCU